rnacentral:rRNA from 1 species
AUGGCUACCCUCGCCCUUAGCGUGGAGCAAGGGAGGCGAAGCUCCUGGAGGCUGGAGGUGCCACGGACCUCGGGCGCACGAGGAGGAGCAGGGAAAAGAGGUCAGGCGGGCGGUGUGCUUGGGAUGGCUGGACCUCGCAAAAUCAAAGAAGGAGCGGCGGCACAGAAGAGUUCAAGCGGCUCCCUGGCAGAUCCCAGCGAGGACAGGGCGCGGGAGGUUGGCGGCUACGGCAGAGCUCCUGCGCAGCGAGGCGGCGUGCAGAGCUCGGGGCGCGAGGGUGCAGGGCGGCGGCCUGCGGCACCUGGCGGAGGAGGAGAAACUGCAGGGGCGCCAAGGUUUCAAGGCGAGGAGGAGGCCAUGGCAAGGAGGCACGACGACGUGGUGGAUCAAGGGCCGGCGACAAGGCAAGGCGACCCAGGGAGCCUGCGAGGGAGGAGAGGGAGAAGAGCACAGGGAGAUGGGAGAGAUCGAGAGGAGGGAGGAUCGGGCACCGGUUCCAUCCUCUACGCGUGA